UGCAGUCGAGCGGACCGACGGGAGCUUGCUCCCUUAGGUCAGCGGCGGACGGGUGAGUAACACGUGGGUAACCUGCCUGUAAGACUGGGAUAACUCCGGGAAACCGGGGCUAAUACCGGAUGCUUGAUUGAACCGCAUGGUUCAAUCAUAAAAGGUGGCUUUUAGCUACCACUUACAGAUGGACCCGCGGCGCAAUAGCUAGUUGGUGAGGUAACGGCUCACCAAGGCGACCAUGCGUAGCCCACCUGAGAGGGUGAUCGGCCACACUGGGACUGAGACACGGCCCAGACUCCUACGGGAGGCAGCAGUAGGGAAUCUUCCGCAAUGGACGAAAGUCUGACGGAGCAACGCCCCGUGAGUGAUGAAGGUUUUCGGAUCGUAAAACUCUUUUGUUAGGGAAGAACAAGUACCGUUCGAAUAGGGCGGUACCUUGACGGUACCUAACCAGAAAGCCACGGCUAACUACGUGCC
rnacentral:rRNA from 1 species